rnacentral:rRNA from 1 species
UACGUAGGGUGCAAGCGUUAAUCGGAAUUACUGGGCGUAAAGCGUGCGCAGGCGGUGAUGUAAGACAGAUGUGAAAUCCCCGGGCUCAACCUGGGAACUGCAUUUGUGACUGCAUCGCUGGAGUGCGGCAGAGGGGGAUGGAAUUCCGCGUGUAGCAGUGAAAUGCGUAGAUAUGCGGAGGAACACCGAUGGCGAAGGCAAUCCCCUGGGCCGGUACUGACACUGAGGAGCGAAAGCGUGGGUAGCAAACAGG